rnacentral:lncRNA from 1 species
GUGGCUCAACCUGUGGCAGCGGGGGAGAGUCAGGUAGCUCCCUCUUUUCCUCCCAAACCUGCUGGGCAAUAAUGAGUCUCUCUACCAUAUCAAAUAACCGGUCAACAUCCUCUCUAAGAGAACCCUCUCGGGCUGCUCGGUUUAGUGGCGGUCUUUCUCUCCUCAUCUAUCUAUACAUGCAUUUCACAAGGAAUGAUUGAGUGACAAUUCAUUG